rnacentral:pre_miRNA from 1 species
ACUACCCCAGAGAGUUUCAAUCGUUUUUAAUUAACUAUGAUAGAAACCUCUGAGGUGGAUU